rnacentral:rRNA from 1 species
UAGCGUAUAUUAAAGUUGUUGCAGUUAGAACGCUCGUAGUCGGAUUUCGGGGCGGGCCGACCGGUCUGCCGAUGGGUAUGCACUGGCCGGCGCGGCCUUCCUUCCGGAGACCGUGCCUACUCUUAACUGAGCGGGGGCGGGAGACGGAACGUUUACUUUGAAAAAAUCAGAGUGUUUCAAGCAGGCAGCUCGCUCUUGCAUGGAUUAGCAUGGGAUAAUGAAAUAGGACUUUGGUGCUAUUUUGUUGGUUUCGAACACCGAAGUAAUGAUGAGAAGGGACAGUCAGGGGCACUCGUAUUCCGCCGAGAGAGGUGAAAUUCUCAGACCAGCGGAAGACGAACCACUGCGAAAGCAUUUG